UGUGUGUGUCUGUCUUUGUUUAAUUUGUAACAAAGCCUUACAGACAGACACAAACAGUAAAUCCUCUUUUGCAACCCAGAACUCAUUGAGAUUUUGGUACAUGUAAGAAGGAAUAUG
ensembl:snoRNA